GGGCAAUAACAACAUCUAGAAAGACGAACUAAAUCAGACAUAGCGAGGAGCAACACGAGCGGCC
rnacentral:snoRNA from 1 species